ACGUAGGAGACGAGCGUUAUCCGGAUUCACUGGGCGUAAAGCGUGCGCAGGCGGUUGUGCAAGAUAGAUGUGAAAUCCCCGGGCUCAACCUGGGAAUUGCAUUUGUGACUGCACGACUGGAGUGCGGCAGAGGGGGAUGGAAUUCCGCGUGUAGCAGUGAAAUGCGUAGAGAUGUGGAGGAACACCGAUGGCGAAGGCAGCCCCCUGGGUCGACACUGACGCUCAUGCACGAAAGCGUGGGGAGCAAACAG
rnacentral:rRNA from 1 species